rnacentral:rRNA from 1 species
ACGGCUCAGUAACACGUGGCUAAUCUGCCCUUGGGACCGGAACACCCCCGGGAAACUGGGGCUAAUUCUCGAUAGGUGAAGAACUCUGGAAUGAGUCUUUGCUAAAAAGACGUUUACGUUAUGCUCGUAGGCGUCGCCCAAGGAUGAGGCCGCGACCGAUCAGGUUGUUGGUGAGGUAAUGGCUCACCAAGCCUUUUACCGGUGCGGGCCGUGAGAGCGGGAGCCCGGAGAUGGGCACUGAGACAAGGGCCCAGGCCCUACGGGGCGCAGCAGUCGCGAAAACUUUGCAAUACACGAAAGUGUGACAGGGCUAUCCCGAGUGCCAUCCGCUGAGGAAGGCUUUUACCCAGUCUAGAACGCUGGGGGAAUAAGGAGAGGGCAAGUCUGGUGUCAGCCGCCGCGGUAAUACCAGCUCUCCGAGUGGUGUGGAUGUUUAUUGGGCCUAAAGCAUCCGUAGCUGGCUAAGUUAGUCCCUUGUUAAAUCCACCGAAUUAAUCGUUGGAUUGCGGGGGAUACUGCUUGGCUAGGGGACGAGAGAGGCAGACGGUAUUUCCGGGGUAGGGGUGAAAUCCUAUAAUCCCGGGAAGACCACCAGUGGCGAAGGCUGUCUGCUAGAACGCGCCCGACGGUGAGGGAUGAAAGCUGGGGGAGCGAACCGGAUUAGAUACCCGGGUAGUCCCAGCUGUAAACGAUGCAGGCUAGGUGUUUGGACGGCCACGUGCCGUUCUAGUGCCGCAGGGAAGCUGUUAAGCCUGCCGCCUGGGGAGUACGAUCGCAAGAUUGAAACUUAAAGGAAUUGGCGGGGGAGCAC